rnacentral:rRNA from 1 species
GCCGCGUGAGGGAUGAAGCUUUUCGGAGCGUAAACCUCUGUUAGGAGGGAAGAACGUCUAUUAUUCGAACAGGGUGAUAGAGUGACGGUACCUCCAGAGAAAGCCCCGGCUAACUCCGUGCCAGCAGCCGCGGUACUACGGCGGGGGCGAACGUUGUCCGGAAUUAUCGGGCGUAAAGGGGCGCGUAGACGGGAAGCUCAGUCAGAGCUGAAAGCUUGUGGCUUAACUGCAAGUUUGCCUCAGAGCCUGCCAUUCGUGAGUUCGGAAGAGGGAAUUGGAAUUCCUGGUAGUAGCGGUCGAAAUGCGUAGAUAUCAGGAAGAACACCGCUGGCGAAGGCGGCUUCCGGGUCCGAUACGGACGCUGAUGCACGAAAGCAUGGGGAGCAAACAGGAGUAGAUACCCUGCUAGUCCACGCUGUCAACGAUGGGUACUAGGUAUUGGCUUUAAUUACUCAGCGCCGGAGCUAACGCAUUAAGUACCCCGCCUGGCUGAGUACGAUCGCAAGAUUGAAACUCAAAGGAAUUGACGGGGCGCCCGCACAAUCGCUGGAGCAUGUGGUUUAAUUCGAUGCAACGCGAAGAACCGUACCUGGGCUUGAACUGUAGGUGACGUAUCCUGAAAGGGAUAUUCUCUUCCGGAGCACCGAUAGAGCUACAGCAUGGCUGUAGUCAGCUCGUCCCGUGAGGUGUUGGGUUAAGUCCCGCAACGAGCGCAACCCCGGUUCCUAGUUGCCAGCAUGCAAGGUGGGAACUCUAGGGAGUCUGCCCCGGACAACGGGGAGGAAGGUGGGGAAGACGUCAAGUCAUCAUGGCCCUUACGUCCAGGGCUACACACGUGCUACAAUGGCCGGUACAACGGGAAGCAAAG